rnacentral:rRNA from 1 species
UACGUAGGGGGCAAGCGUUGUCCGGAUUUACUGGGCGUAAAGAGCGUGUAGGCGGCCACGCAGGUCCGUUGUGAAAACUGGAGGCUCAACCUCCAGCUGUCGACGGAAACCGUAUGGCUAGAGUCCGGAAGAGGAGAGUGGAAUUCCUGGUGUAGCGGUGAAAUGCGCAGAUAUCAGGAAGAACACCAAUGGCGAAGGCAGCUCUCUGGGACGGUACUGACGCUGAGGCGCGAAAGCCAGGGGAGCAAACGGG